rnacentral:rRNA from 1 species
UGAGGAACAUGACCUUCGGCGGGGGAUAGCCGGCCCAACGGCCGGGUAAUACCGCGUACGACCGUCUAGGGACAUCCCUGGAUGGUGAAAGCAGCAAUGCGCCGAUGGAGUGCCUCGCGGCCUAUCAGCUAGUUGGUGAGGUAACGGCUCACCAAGGCGACGACGGGUAGCUGGUCUGGAGAGGAUGGCCAGCCCACAGUUGGGACUGAGACACCGGCCCAGACUCCGUAGGAGG